UACGGAGGGUGCGAGCGUUGUCCGGAAUCAUUGGGCGUAAAGGGCGCGUAGGUGGCCCGGUCAGUUCGUGGUGAAAGCGCGGGGCUCAACCCUGCGUCGGCCAUGAAUACUGCCGCGGCUGGAGCACUGUAGAGGCAGGCGGAAUUCCGGGGUGUAGCGGUGGAAUGCGUAGAGAUCCGGAAGAACACCGGUGGCGAAGGCGGCCUGCUGGGCAGUUGCUGGACACUGGAGGCGCGACAGCGUGGGGAGCAAACAGGG
rnacentral:rRNA from 1 species